UACGUAGGGUGCAAGCGUUAAUCGGAAUUACUGGGCGUAAAGCGUGCGCAGGCGGCUUUGCAAGACAGAUGUGAAAUCCCCGGGCUUAACCUGGGAACUGCAUUUGUGACUGCAUGGCUAGAGUGCGGCAGAGGGGGAUGGAAUUCCGCGUGUAGCAGUGAAAUGCGUAGAUAUCGGAAGGAACAUCAGUGGCGAAGGCGACUUCCUGGACCAAUACUGACGCUGAGUGAGCGAAAGCCAGGGGAGCAAACGGG
rnacentral:rRNA from 1 species